rnacentral:rRNA from 1 species
GGAUGAACGCUGGCGGCGUGCCUAAUACAUGCAAGUCGAGCGAACAGAUAAGGAGCUUGCUCCUUUGACGUUAGCGGCGGACGGGUGAGUAACACGUGGGUAACCUACCUAUAAGACUGGGAUAACUUCGGGAAACCGGAGCUAAUACCGGAUAAUAUUUCGAACCGCAUGGUUCGAUAGUGAAAGAUGGUUUUGCUAUCACUUAUAGAUGGACCCGCGCCGUAUUAGCUAGUUGGUAAGGUAACGGCUUACCAAGGCGACGAUACGUAGCCGACCUGAGAGGGUGAUCGGCCACACUGGAACUGAGACACGGUCCAGACUCCUACGGGAGGCAGCAGUAGGGAAUCUUCCGCAAUGGGCGAAAGCCUGACGGAGCAACGCCGCGUGAGUGAUGAAGGUCUUCGGAUCGUAAAACUCUGUUAUUAGGGAAGAACAUACGUGUAAGUAACUGUGCACGUCUUGACGGUACCUAAUCAGAAAGCCACGGCUAACUAC